GAUGAACGCUGGCGGCGUGCCUAACACAUGCAAGUCGAGCGAACAGACCAGGAGCUUGCGCCUCUCACGUUUGCGGAAGGGGGGAGAGACACGUGUGUAUCAUCCCCUUAACUGACGGAUAUAAUUUCGGGACACCGGCUCUUAUCGCGUAUAAGCUCUUGAACCGCAGUGUGGGUUAGAGAAUUUCGGCUUUGGUGUAUCGUCUCGCGGCAUCCGCGCGGCAUUGGCUAGUUGGUAAGGUAACGGCUUACCAAGGCAACGCUGCGUAGCCGACGGGAGAGGGGGGUCGGCCACACGGGAACUGAGACACGGUCCAGACGACUACGGGAGGCAGCAGUAGGGAAUCGUCGGCAAUGGGCGGAAGCCUGACGGAGCAACGCGGCGUGAGUGAUGAAGGGCUUGGGAGCGUAAAACUCUGUUAUUAGGGAAGAACAAAUGUGUAAGUAACUAUGCACGUCUUGACGGUACCUAAUCAGAAAGCCACGGCUAACUACGUG
rnacentral:rRNA from 1 species